rnacentral:rRNA from 1 species
AUGGGCCAGGCCUUUCGCAAGCUCUUCGAUGCCUUCUUCGGCAACAAGGAGAUGCGGGUGGUGAUGCUUGGGUUGGAUGCAGCCGGUAAAACCACCAUACUCUACAAGCUACACAUUGGCGAAGUACUCUCCACCGUCCCCACCAUUGGUUUCAAUGUUGAGAAGGUUCAGUACAAGAAUGUAGUGUUCACUGUGUGGGAUGUGGGCGGCCAGGAGAAAUUGAGGCCCUUGUGGAGGCACUACUUCAACAACACGGAUGCUCUGAUCUAUGUGGUUGAUUCCCUCGACAGGGAUAGAAUUGGAAGAGCCAGGGCUGAAUUUCAGGCCAUAAUCAAUGACCCAUUUAUGCUCAACAGUGUAUUAUUGGUGUUUGCUAACAAGCAAGACAUGAGGGGAGCAAUGACCCCGAUGGAAGUAUGCGAGGGUCUUGGUCUGUAUGACCUGAACAACCGCAUCUGGCACAUCCAAGGCACAUGUGCUCUUAAAGGCGAUGGCCUGUACGAAGGCUUGGACUGGCUAGCGACGACUCUGGAUGAAAUGCGAGCUACAGGGCGGUUAGCUUCGACAUCGGCGUAA